UACUGAAUAGGGAUGAGAGUGAAAUGGGGAAAUUUGAGACUCCUGGAAGAUAAUUCUGCCUGAAACCAGCAGGAUUUACAGAACCUAAAAAUGAGUCGGUUUAGUGGGGACUGAGAAGGUGAGAGAGAACCGCGGGACAUAAAGAGAUUGGCUUCUCUCCUGGUGCUUUCUCUGCUUGUGACCUGGUUCAGCCAUUCCUAUGCCAGAAGUUCUCCAAUUGUCCUUGGAAGACUUGGCUUCACACGUAAUCUAAGGCUGAAGCACAGUUUGCAAUGCUUAUAUAUGGCUGUUUGUAGCAGAUGGUCUCAGAAACUGGACAGGCAGAGUUCUAAGGCCUGGGAACCAUUCCUGACAGUGUGAAAGCUAAGAAGUUUUCACACUGAAGACUCCGUUGUCUACUAAAAGGAUUCCAACUAUUCUAAACCACACUCUACUGCUUCCCUGUCCCCAGCCUACCCAAGAUAAAACCUGGGCUUGACAGAAGGACUUUGGUAAGACUCAAUGAAGAAAAGGGCUACUAAGUGGCAGAACCAAGAUUCAAGUGAAGGCAGCAUGGUACCUGAUGUAUAUUUUCUCUACAUUUUAGAUUGUCGAAAUAUUUUAUAAUUACACAUAAUUUUUUAAAAUUUA